rnacentral:rRNA from 1 species
AUUGAACGCUGGCGGCAUGCCUUACACAUGCAAGUCGAACGGUAACAGGUCUUCGGAUGCUGACGAGUGGCGAACGGGUGAGUAAUACAUCGGAACUUGCCUAGUAGUGGGGGAUAACUACUCGAAAGAGUGGCUAAUACCGCAUGAGAUCUACGGAUGAAAGCAGGGGAUCGCAAGACCUUGUGCUACUAGAGCGGCCGAUGGCAGAUUAGGUAGUUGGUGGGAUAAAAGCUUACCAAGCCGACGAUCUGUAGCUGGUCUGAGAGGACGAUCAGCCACAUUGGGACUGAGAACCGGCCCAUACUCCUACGGGAGGCAGCAGUGGGGAAUUUUGGACAAUGGGCGAAAGCCUGAUCCAGCAAUGCCACGUGCAGGAUGAAGGCCUUCGGGUUGUAAACUGCUUUUGUACGGAACGAAAAGCCCCGGGUUAAUACCCUGGGGUCAUGACGGUACCGUAAGAAUAAGCACCGGCUAACUACGUGCCAGCCGCCGCGGUAA